rnacentral:rRNA from 1 species
AUGCACGCUGGCGGCGUGCCUAAUACAUGCAAGUCGAGCGAACGGACGAGAAGCUUGCUUCUCUGAUGUUAGCGGCGGACGGGUGAGUAACACGUGGAUAACCUACCUAUAAGACUGGGAUAACUUCGGGAAACCGUAGCUAAUACCGGAUAAUAUUUUGAACCGCAUGGUUCAAAAGUGAAAGACGGUCUUGCUGUCACUUAUAGAUGGAUCCGCGCUGCAUUAGCUAGUUGGUAAGGUAACGGCUUACCAAGGCAACGAUGCAUAGCCGACCUGAGAGGGUGAUCGGCCACACUGGAACUGAGACACGGUCCAGACUCCUACGGGAGGCAGCAGUAGGGAAUCUUCCGCAAUGGGCGAAAGCCUGACGGAGCAACGCCGCGUGAGUGAUGAAGGUCUUCGGAUCGUAAAACUCUGUUAUUAGGGAAGAACAUAUGUGUAAGUAACUGUGCACAUCUUGACGGUACCUAAUCAGAAAGCCACGGCUAACUACGUG